GGAAGGAUCAUUAACACUAUCCAAAUACCUAUUUCUAUAAACCUAAAACCCAAACCUUUUGGUUUGGAAUAAGCACUGGGGGUAUCGUGUGUGCCUGAAAAAAGAAAAAACAACAAAUAAAUUAAUUUAUUUAUUUCUUCUUUUUUUUUUUUUAAACAGGCAUUUGCACGUUUAUUCUUGUUUCUUUUUUCUUUUUUUUUUUUUUAAACCCAUAUGACAAUCAUAAAAAAUAACCCAAAAACAAAAAACACAUACACUUAAGAAUUUUUUUAAAUUCUAUAUAAAAAUGACACAACUCUUAGCAACGGAUAUCUUGGUUCUCGUGACGAUGAAGAACGCAGCGAAAUGCGAUACGUAAUGCGAAUUGCGGAAUUCAGUGAAUCAUCAAAUCUUUGAACGCAACUGGCGCUCUUGGGAUAUGCCUGGGAGCAUGCCUCUUUGAGUAUCGUUUAAAACUCUGCUCAGCCGCGUCUGUGAAUAAAUCUUUUUUUAUUUACACGACAUGACUGGAAAAUGAGCCUGUCUGAUUUCCCCUCCUCGGGGGCGGAGAGCAGUCGCUCGAAGCGCAGUUCUCGGAAGUGAGAGUUACACAUAUGUGUGUUCUCGGUUUUUCCCUCUCAACGUGGUUGAUGUUGCCUUUGUGCAACUCUUUUUCUUCCAACGUCGGGCAGAGAGAAAUCGGAAACCGCCUUUGACUUGUGUUUCUUUCAAUGCUUUCGAUUUCUCUCGAUAGAAGUGAGACAAAAAGGUUUCUUCCUUUUUUUUCAUUUCCAUAGAGUCGAGAAAAAAAUAAAAAUAAAGAAUAAUUCAUUAUUUUUUUAUUUUUACUAAUUUAAUUCAUGAUCUCAAAUGAGGUAGGAUUACCCGCUGAACUUAAGCAUAUUAAUAAGCGGAGGAAAAGAAACUAACAAGGAUUCCCAUAGUAACGGCUAGUGAAGUGGGAAAAGCUCAAAGUGAAAACCGGUGCGCUUAGCGGCGUAUUCGGGUUGUAGCCUAGAGAUGCACUGUCAGUGUGCGACCCGGGUAUAAGUUUUUUGGAACAAAACGUCAGAGAGGGUGAGAACCCCGUCUUUGAUCCGGAGCUCGCCGCGUACGACGUGUACUCACAGAGUCGAGUUGUUUGGGAUUGCAACUCAAAAUGGGUGGUAAACUUCAUCUAAAGCUAAAUACUUGCGAGAGACCGAUAGCGAACAAGUACCGUGAGGGAAAGAUGAAAAGAACUUUGAAAAGAGAGUUAAAAAGUACUUGAAAUUGCUAAGAAGGAAGGGAUGGUAACCAGUGACUGCGCUUGCAGGAAUUCCCAUUCGCAGACUCUUCGUAUGUUCAGCCAGUUCUUUUUUAGUCUGGUUGGUUAUGCGUUGUUGGAGCCGGUGAGUGAGGUUUCCUGUAGGAUUGCGUGUCAGCAUCGGUUUCUUGUGUGGCAGAAAGGUUGGCGGAAGGUAGGCAGUCAUGUGCUGCUGUUAAGACGCCGGCUGCUACCAUGCGAGAGACCGAGGAUCUAAUGCCGAACUAGUGUGCGUUUUCGGCCCCGUUCACCUGUGGUCCACCAAGGCGUUUUCAGCAAAGCUGCGACGUUUUGGGACGGCUAUACUGUGGGCGGUACGUCAGAUGGCACACUCAGGAUGCUGACUAAAUGGUUCUCAUCCACCCGUCUUGAAACACGGACCAAGGAGUCUAACAUAUAUGCGAGUAUUUGGGUGAUUAAAACCCUGAUGCGCAAUGAAAGUGAAGGUAGCUUCGUGCUGCUGAGGUGGGAAGCUUGUCCGCAUGUGGUGAGUGGCACCAUCGACCGAUCGUUCGCUUGCGAAAGAUUUGAGUAAGAGCAUAUCUGUUGGGACCCGAAAGAUGGUGAACUAUGCCUGAGCAGGGUGAAGUCAGGGGAAACUCUGGUGGAGGCUCGUAGCGAUACUGACGUGCAAAUCGUUCGUUUGACUUGGGUAUAGGGGCGAAAGACUAAUCGAACCAUCUAGUAGCUGGUUCCCUC
rnacentral:misc_RNA from 1 species